AUUGAACGCUGGCGGCAGGCCUAACACAUGCAAGUCGAGCGGCAGCGGGACCUUCGGGUUGCCGGCGAGCGGCGGACGGGUGAGUAAUGCCUAGGAAUCUGCCUGUUAGUGGGGGAUAACGCGGGGAAACUCGCGCUAAUACCGCAUACGUCCUACGGGAGAAAGUGGGGGACCUUCGGGCCUCACGCUAACAGAUGAGCCUAGGUCGGAUUAGCUAGUUGGUGGGGUAACGGCCCACCAAGGCGACGAUCCGUAACUGGUCUGAGAGGAUGAUCAGUCACACUGGAACUGAGACAGGGUCCAGACUCCUACGGGAGGCAGCAGUGGGGAAGAUUGGACAAUGGGCGAAAGCCUGAUCCAGCCAUGCCGCGUGUGUGAAGAAGGUCUUCGGAUUGUAAAGCACUUUAAGCCGGGAGGAAGGGCUGUAGGCGAAUACCCUGCAGUCUUGACGUUACCGGCAGAAUAAGCACCGGCUAACUUCGUGCCAGCCGCCGCCGGUAAAAC
rnacentral:rRNA from 1 species